rnacentral:rRNA from 1 species
AUGGAGAUGCUGGUUCCGGCGCCCUAUGAGGCACCCGAGAAGAAGGCCAAGAAGAAGGCCGCAGGGACCAAACAAGGUCUCCGGCGCAAGGUUGUAUCAGAAUCAUCGUCCAAUAACACCGAGACACCCUGCUCCCAUGAAGAUGAGGAGGAGGAAGAGGAAAAUUCUCCACAUCCAGCCCGGGGGGAUAAGAAAAGGAAGGCCGCCCCAUCCGGGGAGGCCGAAGGGUCCAAGAAGGGAAGAGCCCUCCUUCCAGACCGUUCCACCAUGCCCGUGUUCAACGACAAGGAGUGGUUGCCCAGGGACAAGCCCCUGGCAAAGUCGUAA